UACGGGGGGGCAAGCGUUGUUCGGAAUUACUGGGCGUAAAGGGCGCGUAGGCGGUCACUACAAGUCAGUUGUGAAAUCUCUGGGCUUAACUCAGAACGGUCAACUGAUACUGUCGGACUAGAGUGCAGAAGGGGCAACUGGAAUUCUCGGUGUAGCGGUGAAAUGCGUAGAUAUCGAGAGGAACACCUGCGGCGAAGGCGGGUUGCUGGGCUGACACUGACGCUGAGGCGCGAAAGCUAGGGGAGCGAACGGG
rnacentral:rRNA from 1 species